rnacentral:rRNA from 1 species
UACGAAGGGGGCUAGCGUUGCUCGGAAUCACUGGGCGUAAAGGGUGCGUAGGCGGGUCUUUUAAGUCAGGGGUGAAAUCCCGAGGCUCAACCUCGGAACUGCCUUUGAUACUGGCGAUCUUGGAGUCCGGGAGAGGUGAGUGGAAUUCCUAGUGUAGAGGUGAAAUUCGUAGAUAUUAAGGAAGAACACCGGUGGCGAAGGCGGCCCACUGGAUCGGUACCUGACGCUGAGGUGCGAAAGCGUGGGGAGCAAACAGG